ACCUACAUGUACAUGUACAUUACAUAGAUUUACUAAUUUGAUACAAGGAUCAUCAAUUAAUAUUAAUUUUAAUCUUUCUUUCAGAUAAGAAACUUGGAGCUACUUUACUUUUCUUUGGUUGUCGUAAUCGUGCUCAUGAUUACUUGUAUCAGGAGGAGCUGGAGGAGUAUGAGAGUAAGGGUAUACUCUCGGGACUCUAUGUGGCCUUCUCACGAGAACAAGAAGAGAAAGUUUAUGUGCAGCACAAGUUGAAGGAGAAAGGGAAAGAAGUUUGGGAACUUAUUGAGGGUCAAGGUUUCUUUUAUGUGUGUGGUGAUGCCCGUAAUAUGGCACGUGAUGUACAGAACACACUGUUGUCAAUAAUAAA